UAACGCGUGGGUGACGUACCUGUUGGGUGGGGAAUAACUGCCCGAAAGGGUGGCUAAUUCCGCAUAAGUCCUUCGGUUCAAUUCUGAAGGGGAAAGCUUCUUGUAAGAGAGGCGCCGAUGGAGCGGCCCGCGUCCGAUUAGCUGGUUGGUGGGGUAACGGCCUACCAAGGCGACGAUCGGUAGCUGGUCUUAGAGGAUGAUCAGCCAGACUGGGACUGAGACACGGCCCAG
rnacentral:rRNA from 1 species